rnacentral:rRNA from 1 species
AGGGUUUGAUCAUGGCUCAGGAUGAACGCUGGCGGCAUGCCUCAACCAUGCAAGUCAUCCCCCGCCUCGGCGGGGGGGGCAAACGGGUGAGUAACACGUUGAUACCUACCCCCAUCACUGGGAUAAUCCCAAGAAAUUGGGAACAAUACCAGAUAGUCUCCGGGCCUUGUGCACGGAGUAAAGCGUUAGCGGAUGGGGAGGGGUCUGCGUCUGAUUAGCUUGUUGGUAAGGUAACGGCUUACCAAGGCUACGAUCAGUAGCUGGCCUGAGAGGAUGAUCAGCCACACUGGGACUGAGACACGGCCCAGACACCUACGGGUGGCAGCAGGUAGGAAUAUUGCACAAUGGGCGAAAGCCUGAUGCAGCAAUGCCGCGUGGAGGAUGACACCCUUCGGGGCGUAAACUCCUUUUUGAAGGGAAAAAAUGUAUGAUGGUACCUUCAGAAUAAGCCACGGCUAAUCACGUGCCAGCAGCCGCGGUUACACGUGAGUGGCAAGCGUUAUCCGGAAUUAUUGGGCGUAAAGCGUCUGUAGGCGUUCUUGUAAGUUUCUGAUUAAAUCCCUCGGCUCAACCGAGGACCUGUUAGAAAUACUGCAAGAAUUGAGGAUAGCAGAGGAAGAUGGAAUUCCUGGUGUAGUAGUGAAAUGCGUAGAUAUCAGGAGGAACACCAAAAGCGAAGGCAGUCUUCUGGGCUAUUCCUGACGCUGAGAGACGAAAGCGUGGGGAGCAAAACGGAUUAGAUACCCGUGUAGUCCACGCCCUAAACGAUGGGUACUAGUCUUUGGGAGUAUCGACCCUUUCAGAGGCGAAGCUAACGCGUUAAGUACCCCGCCUGGGGAGUACGGCCGCAAGGCUAAAACUCAAAGGAAUAGACGGGGACCCGCACAAGCGGUGGAUCAUGAUGCUUAAUUCGAUGUUACCCGCAGAACCUUACCAAGGCUUGACAUCCCGGGAAUCUCGCAGAAACGUGAGAGUGCCGCAAGGAACCCGGUGACAGGUGCUGCAUGGCCGCCGUCAGCUCGUGCCGUGAGGUGUUCGGUUAGGUCCGAUAACGAGCGCAACCCUUGUCUUGUGUUAUUUUUUCACAAGAGACUGCCUCGGUUAACGGGGAGGAAGGUAGGGACGACGUCAGGUCCGCAUUGCCCUUAUGCCUUGGGCUGCAGUCAUGAUACAAUGGUAAGUACAGAGGGCAUGCCAAACCGUAAGGUGGAGCAAAUCCCAAAAAACUUACCCCAGUACGGAUUGGGGGCUGAAACUCGACCCCAUGAAGGUGGAAUCGCUAGUAAUCACGGGUCAGCUAUACCGUGGUGAAUACGUUCUCGGGUCUUGUACUCACCGCCCGUCAAGUCAGGAAAGCUGAUAUUACCCGACGCGCGCUCCGACCUUGCGUCGGAGGGAACCACGGUAACGUCAGUGAUCAGGGCUAAGUCGUAACAAGGUAACC